rnacentral:rRNA from 1 species
GACGAACGCUGGCGGCGUGCUUAACACAUGCAAGUCGAACGGUAAGGCCCUUCGGGGUACACGAGUGGCGAACGGGUGAGUAACCCGUGGGUGAUCUGCCCUUCACUUCGGGAUAAGCAUGUGAAACUGGGUCUCAUACCGGAUCGGAACCUGGGAUGCAUGUCCUGGGGUGGAAAGCUUUUGCGGUGUGGGAUGGGCCCGCGGCCUGCCAGCGUGUUGGUGGGGUGAUGGCCUACCAAGGCGACCACGGAUAGCCGGCCUGAGAGGGUGACGGGCCACACUGGGACUGAGAUACGGCCCAGACUCCUACGGGAGGCAGCAGUGGGGAAUAUUGCACAAUGGGCGCAAGCCUGAUGUAGCGACGCCGCGUGAGGGAUGACGGCCUUCGGGUUGUAAACCUCUUUCAGCACCGACGAAGCGCAAGUGACGGUAGGUGCAGAAGAAGGACCGGCCAACUACGUGCCAGCAGCCGCCGUAA